CCGCCGAGUGGCCCCCGCCGAGACACACGCUGCUGCGGCACCUGGCCUCGCUGGCCCCCGUCAACACGCGCCGCUACCGGCCGGCCAGCGACCAGUCCAGCCGCGCCGAAUCAGAAGAACCGACCGGCUCCGAAGCCGACGCGCCGCCGCCCUUCGUCAACUCCGACAUCGUGCUCAAGGAGUCGCUCAAGGAAGAGAAGCCACUCACUCAGGCACUCAAGUACGCGCGGUCCUAGCGCCCGCCUGAACCCACUGAAUGUCACUAGACCAACAACUUACGUAAGCAUCUAAAGCAGCGCUGGCGAACCAAUGGCACGCGUGCCAAUGAUGGCACGCGACAUAAUAUUGGGCACGCCACCAAUCACAAAUUCAGUAAUUCAAUAGUAAAUAAUGUGUUUUGAUUAUGAGCUAUCGUAUUUGCCCUCAUCAGUUAGUGCCACUGUAGAGUAAGGUUGUGUCACUCACCAGUGGUGCUACUUGAUGGCAUUAGGUGUUAAUUUAAUGGCACGUGUCUAUGAUUACUUCAAACAUUUUUUUAGAAUAGUGGCACGUUGAUACUUAAAGGUUCGCCAUCCCUGAUCUAGAGAGUAUUACAGUCCGAUUUUGUGUGACCAUUCACGAAGAAAGAAUCGAGGCAAUUAGGCCCUAACGUGAACCAUCCACUGUCACUAAUCCGACUUCGCAUGACUAUUAUCAAGCCAGUCAUGAGUAUCCACCGGCUGUGAUUAGUCCAGCCUCGCGUGAGCACUCACUGAACCAUCUACGUCAGCAUCUACUGUCAUUAGUCCGACUUCGCGAGACCAUUUACCAAGUCAAUAUCAAGCCAGUCUUGAGCCUUAUCCAUUCCAGUUUCGCGUGAAAUAGAUCUGGCUUAUCAACAUCGAGCUAAUACCCACAUGAGAAACUGUUUUUUUUAUUAGUCCCAUUUUUAUGUGCUCCGCAAUAUUCGUAUUUGCGGAAAUAACUAUUGCAUUCUCUCAUGUCAGUUUCUCUGGACUAGUGAUCGAGUGUCAGUCAUGUGUGAUCGAUCAUUUUAUUCACUAAAAAUCAUACCUCAACACUAACCACAUUAUUCCAAGAUGAUUUUCAAGCAAUUUUGUUCCUUCUUUCCAAAGAUAUGGAGGACAUAGUUCAAAUUGUUUCCUAUUUGAAACGGAUAUACCGUACCUACUUAACAUGCUUACAAAUCACAGCCUAAAUUAAAAGUACCCAUGUGCUUAACAAGUUACAACCAAAAUUCAAAUUGGAUUUCGUGAUAAAAUAACAGCUAUCUUACUUUUAAUUAUUAAUGUGAUAACCCCAAUGAUCUGGUUAUUCUGUUAUAAGAGGCUAUGGGUGAAGACUUAUGAACAAAGUCAAGUUUAUGAGGAAUUCACUUCUAGGUGUUUCAUAAAAUGCCGAAUGUAUAUUGUCACGUCGAACUGAUCAUCGCAUAACUCUGGUAUCAUAUUAAAUAUUAAGUAAUAACCCAAGCCACCAAUCAGCUUCUGACAUGGAUUGAUCAGUUCAACAUAACAAUUUUAUUUAUGAUUAUCUGAAACUCGUGUUUACGGUUUGUAAGAUUACUUAAAACCGAAUUGUAGCACACUUAAAAAUUUAAGGAGUUCUUAAAAAAUCAAAUUCGUAUCGCUAGGUAAAUAACAAGUGUUCUAUUUUGAGAUCUUCUAGAUGAUAGGGUAUUUUUCGAAACUUAUCUCUGUGUGUAUGUCUGGAAGCCGUGACGAUCUUUUUGACGUCACAAAUUGUAAUGGCAAGUAUAGUUCCAAAAUACUGGACUGUCCUGUCGAUGACAUUGACAGUGGGGCGCCACCGUCAAUACCGGAUCGCUGGUUCAGAUUUUUGCCAUGUUGGAAACCAUAUAGUUGAACGAUGGUAGCGCCCCCCUGUCAUUGAGUUUGGCGGGACAGUUCAGCGUGGAUCAUCUAUAAGACGAACCUCAAAUUGUCAAUCUUGACUUUUCAAGCUUUUAAAUGCUUUUAGCGAACUGGCAGAGUGCCUUAUUUUCCCUUUUUGGCUUUGAUGAUCCUGAAAUUGAUUUAAACUUGAUCGUAACGUUUUCCACAUCGCCCGGUUGGUAGCGGCCUGCAUCCAGCGCUUUCCUGCUACCUUUAUGAGGUCGUCGGUCCACCUUGUGGGUGGACGUCUUACGCUCCGUUUUCCUAUACGUGGCCUUCACUCAAUCACUCACGCUACUAACCGGGAUGAAAUGAUGAUGAUGAUCGUAUGUUGAUCGAAGCCUGUGAUCGGUUGUUUCAAUAAUCAAACAAUGAGACAUGUGUAGAUCAAUACUUGCUCGUUACAGAAUACGGACCUUUUGUUUUUUAACAGAUUAUGCUGUUAUGUAUUCAGGGUGGAAACGAUAAGUGAUCUCACUCGAUUAUUUCUAAACUAUACAAGAUAUCGAAAACUGGUUACUGAUCCUGAAAGUGCUCCACGAGCUCAAUCAAAUGGUAUGGUAUACCAAUGAUAUGUUAUAUAAAGGGGAUCUAUCCGAAAAUUCAAUAUUUCCAGCUACUAUACAUUUAGAAAAGUCUCAAAAUAUUAAAAACUAUACAAGAUAUAGUACCCAGUUUUUCGAUAACUUGUGUAGUGUAGAAAUAAUCGAGUGAGAUCACUUAUCGUUUCCACCCUGUAUAGCUUCCAGACUACAUUAACUCUUGCGCCGCGAUACAUUAGCUAGUAAAAGAAUAUCAAAACAAAUGUAGCUAGGAAUAAAUAUAUCGCGGGUGUUUUCAGUAUCUGUGUUUGGUUUUAGCUCUUGUACCUAAGGCGAUUUUUAGGGUUCCAUAGUCCCGACAAGGAACCCUUAUUUAAGUUUUGAUCAAGAAGAAUGUCCUUCCAAAUAAACAACGCAGAUACUGCAAACGCAUUUUUUAUAAUUGACUAUUGUCUGUGUGCGUAGAUUUUACUGAAAAAACGUUCACAGAGUACAAAUGGGCUGCCUUUAAUAUUAAUAUACGAAACCAGUUUCAGUCCUUAAUUUAUGAAUAAAUCAAUGUUUUGAAACGAAAAAAUAGUAGUCGAUUACUGACUGCCUUUUAAAUAACAAAAAGAAACACACUAAUGUAUCGUUUAAAUAAAAGAAGUGUCUUUUAAGGAACUAGUACCUACAAAAUCUGUAAAUGGCCGCGAAAAAAUUAUAAAAUUUUAAACCACCUCGCGGUGUUUUGCUUUUUCUAGCAAAAUCUUUGAGCAAGCAACUUUGUAUUUUGUGAUCACUGUUAGAGAAAAUGUUUUGAAUAAUAAUGUCGCACUUUUUUAUUAAACCUUACUUAUCACUCAAACAAAUAAAAUAACCAAAAGAUAAGAUCAAAGUGUCCUGUACUUAAAAUUUUCAUAACACUGACUUGACACCGGAUUUAAAAACUUUAUUCUAUCGUAAAAAAGUGCGGCAUCCAAUGCGUUGUGAAAUUAAAUAAUAAGUGCGCUAAAAUCAUCGGCCAAUGUUUUCCAGAGCAUUCAAUAAUUGUGUCAAAGUACGAAUAGACUAAAAGAUCAAGCCAUCAGGCGUUUUAUAUAAGAAAAUUACACGAGCUAUGCGAUUAUACCUUUAGUUAACCCUACAAAAGACGCUGGCCGAUGAGUUUAGUCCAAACAAAUCAAACUUUGCCUUCUACACUUAGCAAUAAUUAAUAUAAAAUAGUCCUAACACCUUCGUUACCGGUAGCCAAAGAGUUGCAAACGUAUUUACAAGGCUCGAUGUUAGUACCUGCCGUAGCGAUUAGUCAAAUCUAUAAGGUGCUAUGAGGAACGAAAAUCGGUAGAGUAGACGGCGGUAUGAUAGCAAAAAGUAUAUCUUUUUGAGUAGAUUAGAAUAAUUGAAGGGACGUCGUUGUCGAUGCGAACAUUUGGAUUGAUAAAUUAAUAAGUGUGUAGCUAAUUUUGUCUUUUGCUAUCUUACUGCUUUAGAGAACAGCAGGAUCCGCCAUUUCUCACUUUUGCCUCUCGAAUUUCGGUAAAAAAGUCGUAAAUGAAAUGGCUUAGUAAAAUUUCAAUCUAUACUAAUAUUAUAAAUUCGAAAGUAACUCUGUCUGUCUGUCUUGCUUUCACGCCUAAACCACUGAAGCUAUUUUGAUGAAAUUUGGCAUAGAGAUAGUUUGAAUCCCCGGGAAAGGACAUAGGAUAAAUUUUAUCCCGGUUUUUUAAACAGGGACGCGCGCGAUAGUUUUUCUGUGACAGACAAAAUUCCACGCGGGCGAAGCCGCGGACGGAAAGCUAGUUUUCUAAAGCAGUUUCUUCCAGCCAAGCGGUAGCUAUCACGAAGUUAGUCCUAAAAGUGUGUAUCGUAUCGUAGCGAGAAGUGGCGGGUCAGCUGAGAAAAUUAGGUUAAAUAGACUGAGUUAUCGUUGGUACAAGUACUUAAACGAUAACGGAUAUCAUUUUAUUCUACACUGCAGGCCCAUAAUAUACUAUGACUUAUUUCAGCGAUAUAACGGCGCGUUAUAACCCUUUAGCACCGCGUUUGUACAGAUAGAUCGUUUCAUCCACGAAGACGCGCCCCACCAAUUUUUGGUCGAGGGAAGCGCGGGGUGCGGGGAGUUUGAUCCGAGCGUUAUUAAUGUAGUGUGCACUCAUUAAUAAUUUAGCGUAUACCGAUAACAAACAUUCGCGAAAGAAUGAUGGGUGGGGCGCGUCUUCGUGGAUGAAACGAUCUAUAUGGCUUGUUUGUCUACAUGUAACAUGUUGCAUGGAGAUUGCAUCCCGUUCGUAUUGCUAAAAAAAAGUCGGAGAAUAAAAAGGGUCUUGAUUUUAUAUUGCUUCGCCUAUUUAUACUUAUCAAUAUUUUAACUAAAGAAUCUAAAUUUGAAACAGUUAACAAGAGAUUUAUUAGUCUUUAAAGAUGUAUUAUUUCUUGAUAGUAGUCCUGUUGACGUGUACUUAAUUUUUUAUUGGUAUUACAUAUUUAUAUUUUUAUGAUUUACGAGCUCGAAGAUCAAAUCAAUAGUUUCUCACAUCGUUUUCUAUGAUUUUGCACAAUCGAUUUUAAUUUAUUAGACUAUUUGACAGAUUCCCCAAUAAUUCGAAAUCACAACUUUUUUAAGAAGACAAUUACACAAAUAAAAACCUAAUUAAUUUAAAAUUACCUGUUAAUUAAGAUUUUUGGUUGCAUUGUAAUUUGAAAAAAGUAAUUUGAGUUGACAAAAUAGUGACGUCACUUGCUUGUAUUGGUGGUGUCAACACGUCUUUUGAUGUGGGUAGCUGUAAGAUUUUAUCGGCUAGCUCUGAAUCUAGCGGAGUGUGAUCUAUCAACCGAUGCUAGUCGACAUUAUGUGGAGAUCACACAUACACUACCAAAGUUUCGAGAUAUUUAUUUAAUGUUUAUCGGAUAUCGAGAUUUUAGAACUGGGAUAAAAAGAGCAUAAUGAUAGCACUUCUCACUAACCAAUUAGAUAUUUAAAAUAUAUUUUUAUUGGCAACAUUAUGCCAGACAAAAAAUAAAAACGUAAAGGUGUGUUGUACUUUUUGCCUAACAUCGUACUUGCCAGUUUCACAAAUGAUUAGUGCAAGUAAAAUUUACCACCACACAUAUAAAAGUGAUUUACAUUUAUCUAUCUUUAAUCCAUCCAAUUAUCCAACGAAUCUCAAAACUUAAGAAUUUUAAAAGUAAGCUAUCCCAGCUCAGCUGACGUUUAUAUGUGGAGACUGGGCGAUUUAUAUAUUUUAAUUGGUUCCAUAUAAUUGAUCUCGCUAUAUUUUGUAUGAAAUGCUUAAUAUUUUUAUAUUUAAUGUGUGUUUUGUUGACAGCCGAGCUGAUUUUGUGAUUUUUUAAUUUAUGUACUUAAUCAAUUAAUUUUUAUUUCCUGCCUAUAAGUAUUAUUAUCAUUAAUUUUCUUUAUUUAUAUAGUGCCAUACAAUAUAGCAGUGUUCAUAUUAUUCCCAAUGCUUGAGUAUUGCAAUAUUUAUGAUACAAAAUAUGAUAAGGUAACAAGUGGAAGCUUCGCUUGAGUACAAAGUGUGAUAAUUUUAGUAGAUUCUCUCUAAAGUUUUAAUGUCAUACUGUAAAAAUAUAUUUUGAUUAUGCUAA